rnacentral:lncRNA from 1 species
ACUUGAGGAAGACACUAAAUGCACAAUGAAAAUUAGAAAUAAAUGAACUAGAAGAUAUGCCCAUAGAUCUAGAUCUCUUACGCCAUCGAAUCAUUGGUGAGAUCCAACAUGGAGUUGAGAAAGAUGACAGGUGCUCAAAACAAAAUAAAAAUGAAGGAAACUAUAAGAUCUGCCAACAAAUAUGUAACUCUUAUGCCAUCGGAUCAUCGAUGAGAUCCACCG